AGAUAUGAAAAGCUGUUCUAACCUGAGGCAACAACCAGUAAUCCCUCAAGUCCCUCAAGAAUUCUCCCUAUCAGAAACAGGACUUGGGAGACUUCCUUUUGCCUGCACUAUUACCUCUGUGGAAACAGCGUGACCACUAUGCUAUCACAUAUCAAACCAACCAACAUUUUCCCGAGGAAGGACUACAAUUUGAAGAGCAAAUGUUGCUCUAACAGCAGACCACUUCCUCUCAGCCCAGCACCCAGACCCUCUUGCUUUAUGCAGGGAUGGAGAGCAGAAAGCCUGAAGCUCUCAAAAGGAAGAGAGUGCCCUUCAUAUACUAAUGAACAUUUAAUUGCCUGUAAAGCAUCUCAAGGAACUGAAAACUGUCCAGGUGAAAGAGAAAAACUGUAUUCGGAUGGAGGUGGGAGAGCUGCAGUCAUAUACUGGCUCUGGAUGAAUUUUCUGAAUCUGUUGUUAAAGCCUACAUUGAUUUGCAAAAAGUGAAAAUUAAAAACAUCAGGCUGGCAUGGAGAAGAUUAUUUACAACUCAUAUUUAGGGCCCUGCCUCAUUCAGAGUGCAGGAUGAACAGUGCUUGGAAUGAAUCGGCACAAUGAAGUGAAAGAGGCUGUUGUUUGCAGGACUCAUGGCAGUUGUUGAGGAAGUUGGAAUAUGUGUUUUGAAUGAGUUGGGAUGUCAAGAAAAGAAAGGAUGAUCCUGUAGCUGAGGCAACUGUGUUUCCCUGGAGAAUGAGUUUCUGUCACUGCCUUUGCCAAAAGAUUCUGUGAGGCAUCUUCAAACUCUAUCAUCUUCUUCAGUAAUCACAGAAUCACAGAGUUGUAGGGGCUGAAAGGGACUUCUAGAGACUGUCUUGUCCAACCCCUCUGCCAAAGCAGGCCCCCUACAGCAGGUUGCACAGGUAGGUGGCAAAUCUAUGAUAGAGACAAGAUUCUGCAGCCACAGAGUUAUAGAAGACUCAGCAUUCUACUCUACUGUGCUGUUAAUAGGAGCUUCUAACUACUUUUCAGAUGACCUAAAAAUAAAUCAGUGCAGCUCUUAUGUUUUAUAGACAGUUUUACUGAAGGCAUGGUGGGAGGGAGAAGGAGUAGAGAAAAAUGUGUAUGUAAACAAAUCUUCAGAAGCAACUUUUUCUAAAGAAG
ensembl:lncRNA